AUUGAACGCUGGCGGCAGGCCUAACACAUGCAAGUCGAACGAGUGGCGGACGGGUGAGUAAUGUCUGGGAAACUGCCUGUUGGAGGGGGAUAACUACUGGAAACGGUAGCUAAUACAGCAUACCAUCAGAUGUGCCCAGAUGUGAUUAGCUAGUUGGUGGGGUAACGGCUCACCAGGGCGACGCUCCCUAGCUGGGCUGAGAGGAUGACCGGCCACACGGGAGCUGAGACACGGUCCAGACACGUACGGGAGGCAGCAGUGGGGAAUAUUGCACAAUGGGCGCAAGCCUGAGGCAGCCAUGCCGAGUGUAUGAAGAAGGCCUUCAGGUUGUAAAGUACUUUCAGCGGGGAGGCGUUACCCGCAGAAGAAGCACCGGCUAACUCCGUGCCAGCCGCCGCGGUAAUAC
rnacentral:rRNA from 1 species